ACCCGCACAAGCGGUGGAUGAUGUGGAUUAAUCGAUGCAACGCGAAAACCUUACCUACCCUUGACAUGUCCGGAAUCCUGCAGAGAUGCGGGAGUGCCCGAAAGGGAAUCGGAACACAGGUGCUGCAUGGCUGUCGUCAGCUCGUGUCGUGAGAUGUUGGGUUAAGUCCCGCAACGAGCGCAACCCUUAUCAUUAGUUGCUACGCAAGGGCACUCUAAUGAGACUGCCGGUGACAAACCGGAGGAAGGUGGGGAUGACGUCAAGUCCUCAUGGCCCUUAUGGGUAGGGCUUCACACGUCAUACAAUGGUCGGUACAGAGGGUUGCCAAGCCGCGAGGUGGAGCCAACCCCAGAAAGCCGAUCGUAGUCCGGAUUGUUCUCUGCAACUCGAGAGCAUGAAGUCGGAAUCGCUAGUAAUCGCGGAUCAGCAUGUCGCGGUGAAUACGUUCCCGGGUCUU
rnacentral:rRNA from 1 species